CCCAUGAGAGUAGACUUGUAAAACAAUUUAUUAUGAAUGAAGGUGUUGGGUUUCCCUUUUGUAUAAUCAGUUGAAAGACUUCUACUUAUGCCUUGAUGCAACUCUUCUGUUUUGUUGUUUGUUGAGUAUUCUAUAUUCAUGAAUUGAUCCUGCACCAUCACCUUGUUUCUGCUGCAACAGUCAGAUUGGAAAUUUUGUUUCCUGCAAUACAUAGAAGCAAUUGAUCUGUAAGUGUGAAGUAAAUUUAAUAUAACUGAAAAUGAACUGUGAAUUUAUUCAAUAAAGAAGAUUUAAACUAAACACGGAAAAAAUGUGGGAUGUGAAUGUGAAAAUUAAGACCCCAUGAUAGGGGUAUAGAUCACCUGUCCUCAUUCCUGUUCCAUUUCCUGUCCUGGUCCAAUAAAAAAUUGACACUUCAUUAAAAAAAAAGAAUUUUAAAGACUUAAAGUAAUAUAUGUGCAUUACUUGGAAAAACCCUAUUGACUUGGGACAUGGGGACACACUGAUUUUGGGACAGGUGAUCCCCAUUCCCAUGAUAGAAGACUAGAUGUGUAUUUUUUCUUUCAUGAAUUUGAUUAAUUAAGGUGGUUCUUACAUAGGCCUGCUAAAUUGGACUAUUGUUCUAUCUCUUCAUAUCGGCCACCUCUAGCCCACAUCUUCUUGACAGACUUUUUAAUUAAUUCCUCCAUCCUCCAAUUUUUUGGAAUUUGAAUAAUUAUGUUUGUCAACCUACAAUUUAUCACAGAAGAUAAUUGAGAUUUGAGAUGACGCAAAUUCAUGAUUUAUAAGUAAAUGUAUUAGAUUAUAAUAUUUUUU
rnacentral:lncRNA from 1 species